rnacentral:lncRNA from 1 species
AAGUGCCCUUAUAUUUAAACCUUGCUGUCCCUCUAGGUUUUAGUUGUUUUUCCACCUUAAUUGCAAGGUGAACUAACUCCUCAAGCUCCACAUAAUGUUGCAACUCUACCCUAUCAUCAAUCUCCUUAUUAAGCCCACCAAUGAAUCGUGCCAUGGUAGCUUCUCUAUCCUUAUCCAAAUCAGCCCUAGUCAUGAGCAUUUCCAUCUCCUUAUAAUAAUCC